UACGGAGGAGGCAAGCGUUAUCCGGAAUUAUUGGGCGUAAAGCGUCUGCAGGUGGCGAUUCAAGUCUGCGGUCAAAGACUGGGGCUUAACCCUGGAAAGGCCGUGGAAACUGAAAAGCUAGAGUGCAGUAGGGGUAGAGGGAAUUCCCGGUGUAGCGGUGAAAUGCGUAGAGCUCGGGAAGAACAUCGGUGGCGAAAGCGCUCUGCUGGACUGCAACUGACACUCAGGGACGAAAGCUAGGGGAGCGAAUGGG
rnacentral:rRNA from 1 species